CCUACGGGAGGCAGCAGUGAGGAAUAUUGGACAAUGGGCGCAAGCCUGAUCCAGCCAUGCCGCGUGCAGGAAGACGGUCCUAUGGAUUGUAAACUGCUUUUGUACGGGAAGAAACACUCCUACGUGUAGGAGCUUGACGGUACCGUAAGAAUAAGGAUCGGCUAACUCCGUGCCAGCAGCCGCGGUAAUACGGAGGAUCCAAGCGUUAUCCGGAAUCAUUGGGUUUAAAGGGUCCGUAGGCGGUUUAGUAAGUCAGUGGUGAAAGCCCAUCGCUCAACGAUGGAACGGCCAUUGAUACUGCUAGACUUGAAUUACUAGGAAGUAACUAGAAUAUGUAGUGUAGCGGUGAAAUGCUUAGAUAUUACAUGGAAUACCAAUUGCGAAGGCAGGUUACUACUAGUGGAUUGACGCUGAUGGACGAAAGCGUGGGGAGCGAACAGGAUUAGAUACCCUGGUAGUCCACGCCGUAAACGAUGGAUACUAGCUGUUCGGGGACAACCUGAGUGGCUAAGCGAAAGUGAUAGUAUCCACCUGGGAGUACGUUCGCAGAANAGAAGAGAAGAAGUAGAGCGNGAGAGNGACGAGACGACGACGAGGAGGAGG
rnacentral:rRNA from 1 species